rnacentral:rRNA from 1 species
GAUCCUGGCUCAGAUUGAACGCUGGCGGCGUGCUUAACACAUGCAAGUCGUACGCGAAAGGGACUUCGGUCCCGAGUAAAGUGGCGCACGGGUGAGUAACACGUGGAUGAUCUGCCUCUAUGAUGGGGAUAACAGUUGGAAACGACUGCUAAUACCGAAUACGCUCAUGAUGAACGUUGUGAGGAAAGGUGGCCUCUGCUUGCAAGCUAUCGCAUAGAGAUGAGUCCG